UUUAUGUUAUAUUUGCCAAACACAAACCAAUCAGGAGCAGUAAGUGCCCACACAGUCACCUGUCGAGCAGGACAUUUAUCGCUGGCUUCACUGUGUGAGUGGUCGGGUGUGAGUGUGUGGGGAGCACUUUGUUGCUUAAUUGAUUUUAAUACAAGUACCCCGCUCCUUUUGCGCCAUCGGUCCUCAAAUGCAGCAGCUGCCUGUCCAUUUCCCAUUUCCAUUUCCGUUUGCAAUUGCAGGGAGGGCACAGGCCAAGGAUG